rnacentral:misc_RNA from 1 species
AAAGACGCCAAGGGCUGUUCACAAACAGAUGAAGACACAAAGGUAAACCCAACAGAAAAUGGAGUCUAUCAAAAUGGAACAACAGCCAAGUCAGAAGUUAUAGCAGGAGGAGGUGGGAGCAAGAAAGAGAACUGAUAUUGUGGUUGUAUCAUCAUAGUGCAUCACCUUGUAGUGAAUAUCAUAAAUUACAAUGUAAACAGGUUGAACAAGUUCCACAACAUGCAUGUACAUGUAUACACAUGUAAGUGUGAUGUUCCUCAUUGAUAAUAUUGUAAUUGAUACUUGUAUUUUGUGUACUCUAAUUUUUGUGCAGAUUACCAUAUCCAAGAAACUUUGAUUGAUCUUUAAAGAAAUGUUCUUGAUUGCAUAAACAGUUAUAAUUUCCUAACAAGUUUCUUCUUGGAUAACGUAUUUUUCCAAAAAUUAAACGUUUUCAAUUUUAAGUGAUGCAGCUUUAUUUGAGAUGCUGUAUGUCAAAUUAAUUAAGGCACGCAAUUAAGUCUGUCAACUAGAUUAAUUUCUCAGAAUAUUGCAUGUACAUAAUUAUAUCCAUUUGUUUUGUUUUUAAUAAAUGAACAAAAGAG